GACGAACGUUGGCGGCGUGCUUAACACAUGCAAGUCGAACGGAAAGGCCCUGCUUUUGUGGGGUGCUCGAGUGGCGAACGGGUGAGUAACACGUGAGUAACCUGCCCUUGACUUUGGGAUAACUUCAGGAAACUGGGGCUAAUACCGGAUAGGAGCUCCUGCUGCAUGGUGGGGGUUGGAAAGUUUCGGCGGUUGGGGAUGGACUCGCGGCUUAUCAGCUUGUUGGUGGGGUAGUGGCUUACCAAGGCUUUGACGGGUAGCCGGCCUGAGAGGGUGACCGGCCACAUUGGGACUGAGAUACGGCCCAGACUCCUACGGGAGGCAGCAGUGGGGAAUAUUGCACAAUGGGCGGAAGCCUGAUGCAGCAACGCCGCGUGCGGGAUGACGGCCUUCGGGUUGUAAACCGCUUUCGCCUGUGACGAAGCGUGAGUGACGGUAAUGGGUAAAGAAGCACCGGCUAACUACGUGCCAGCAGCCGCGGUGAUACGUAGGGUGCGAGCGUUGUCCGGAUUUAUUGGGCGUAAAGGGCUCGUAGGUGGUUGAUCGCGUCGGAAGUGUAAUCUUGGGGCUUAACCCUGAGCGUGCUUUCGAUACGGGUUGACUUGAGGGAGGUAGGGGAGAAUGGAAUUCCUGGUGGAGCGGUGGAAUGCGCAGAUAUCAGGAGGAACACCAGUGGCGAAGGCGGUUCUCUGGGCCUUUCCUGACGCUGAGGAGCGAAAGCGUGGGGAGCGAACAGGCUUAGAUACCCUGGUAGUCCACGCUGUAAACGGUGGGUACUAGGUGUGGGGUCCAUUCCACGGGUUCCGUGCCGUAGCUAACGCUUUAAGUACCCCGCCUGGGGAGUACGGCCGCAAGGCUAAAACUCAAAGGAAUUGACGGGGCCCCGCACAAGCGGCGGAGCAUGCGGAUUAAUUCGAUGCAACGCGUAGAACCUUACCUGGGUUUGACAUGGAUCGGGAGUGCUCAGAGAUGGGUGUGCCUCUUUUGGGGUCGGUUCACAGGUGGUGCAUGCCUGUCGUCAGCUCGUGUCGUGAGAUGUUGGGUUAAGUCCCGCAACGAGCGCAACCCUUGUUCACUGUUGCCAGCACGUUAUGGUGGGGACUCAGUGGAGACCGCCGGGGUCAACUCGGAGGAAGGUGGGGAUGACGUCAAGUCAUCAUGCCCCUUAUGUCCAGGGCUUCACGCAUGCUACAAUGGCUGGUACAGAGAGUGGCGAGCCUGUGAGGGUGAGCGAAUCUCGGAAAGCCGGUCUCAGUUCGGAUUGGGGUCUGCAACUCGACCUCAUGAAGUCGGAGUCGCUAGUAAUCGCAGAUCAGCAACGCUGCGGUGAAUACGUUCCCGGGG
rnacentral:rRNA from 1 species